CUCCCUGGCAAUGGGCAGAGACACCUUGUUGUUGGUGGUGUUCUUAUAUCAGUCAUGGGCAGAGCAGAUGGCAGUCCCUUGUUCACCUUAGCUAGAUGCCUGGCUUGGUAGCCAAAGCUGGCUUAUGUCUAGGACUCAAAA